CCGGCGCACGGGUGAGUAACGCGUAUACAAUUUGCCUUUUACUGGAGGAUAGCCAAGAGAAAUUUUGAUUAAUACUCCAUAGUAUUAUUUGACCACCUGGUCGAAUGAUUAAAGCUCCGGCGGUAAAAGAUGAGUAUGCGUUCUAUUAGCUAGAUGGUAAGGUAACGGCUUACCAUGGCGACGAUAGAUAGGGGUCCUGAGAGGGAGAUCCCCCACACUGGUACUGAGACACGGACCAGACUCCUACGGGAGGCAGCAGUGAGGAAUAUUGGGCAAUGGAGGCAACUCUGACCCAGCCAUGCCGCGUGCAGGAAGACGGCCCUAUGGGUUGUAAACUGCUUUUAUACAGGAAGAAACUUAUCCACGUGUGGAUAACUGACGGUACUGUAAGAAUAAGGACCGGCUAACUCCGUGCCAGCAGCCGCGGUAAUACGGAGGGUCCAAGCGUUAUCCGGAAUCAUUGGGUUUAAAGGGUCCGUAGGCGGGCAAUUAAGUCAGAGGUGAAAUCCCACAGCUCAACUGUGGAACUGCCUUUGAUACUGGUUGUCUUGAGUUAUAGUGAAGUAGAUAGAAUAUGUAGUGUAGCGGUGAAAU
rnacentral:rRNA from 1 species